rnacentral:rRNA from 1 species
UUAGUGGCGGACGGGUGAGUAACGCGUGAGAAUCUGCCCUCAGGAGGGGGAUAACGGUUGGAAACGACCGCUAAUACCCCAUAUGCCGAGAGGUGAAAUGAAUUUCGCCUGAGGAUGAGCUCGCGUCUGAUUAGUUAGUUGGUGGGGUAAUGGCCUACCAAGACAUCGAUCAGUAGCUGGUCUGAGAGUAUGAUCAGCCACACUGGGACUGAGACACGGCCCAGACUCCUACGGGAGGCAGCAGUGGGGAAUUUUCCGCAAUGGGCGAAAGCCUGACGGAGCAACGCCGCGUGAGGGAUGAAGGCCUCUGGGCUGUAAACCUCUUUUAUCAAGGAAGAAGAUCUGACGGUACUUGAUGAAUAAGCCACGGCUAAUUCCGUGCCAGCAGCCGCGGUAAUACGGGAGUGGCAAGCGUUAUCCGGAAUUAUUGGGCGUAAAGCGUCCGCAGGCGGUCUGUCAAGUCUGCUGUUAAAGCGUGGAGCUUAACUCCAUUUCGGCAGUGGAAACUGACAGACUAGAGUGUGGUAGGGGCAGAGGGAAUUCCCGGUGUAGCGGUGAAAUGCGUAGAUACCGGGAAGAACACCAGUGGCGAAGGCGCUCUGCUGGGCCAUAACUGACGCUCAUGGACGAAAGCCAGGGGAGCGAAAGGGAUUAGAUACCCCUGUAGUCCUGGCCGUAAACGAUGAACACUAGGUGUCGGGGGAAUCGACCCCCUCGGUGUCGUAGCCAACGCGUUAAGUGUUCCGCCUGGGGAGUACGCACGCAAGUGUGAAACUCAAAGGAAUUGACGGGGGCCCGCACAAGCGGUGGAGUAUGUGGUUUAAUUCGAUGCAACGCGAAGAACCUUACCAGGGUUUGACAUCCUGCGAAUCUCUUGGAAACGAGAGAGUGCCUUCGGGAACGCAGUGACAGGU